UCAGUUCGCUAUUCCACCAUUCUCCCACUCCCUUGUUCGGGUCUGGCACAGGCGCACAUCAAUCAGAUCUCGUGUUUAUUGUCUCAUCAUCUCCCAAACUUCACGGGCAUAUGGGCAGUGUAGGCACAUAUGAUCCGCCGUCUCUUGCACUUGAUCACAAAGUGCACAUUCCAAUCUGCACGGCCAAUCCCUAGCAAACAGGCAAAAAAUUUGUGUUUGCCCUCUGCCAAUGCAAAGAAUUUAUGUUAAAGAUGCUCACACAUAUACUUCUAAUGCAUGAUCACAGAUUGUCAUCUAAGGGGAUAAUGAUGAUUCCAUCCUUAUUUUCUCAAGUAUAUAUAUUUUCUUUUGCCAUAUUAGUAGGAGUUGGUGGAGCCUAAACAAAUGUUCGAGCGAGGAGUAAAGGGUUAGUAGGUGAAAAUUUGAGCAAACAUGCAUAAAAAUGCAUUUUUAUCAAUGUUAUUUAUGUUGAAUAUUUUGCGUUGAAGAUUUAGGAAAUAAGUCCUUCUUUGUCGCGGUGCACAAGUUUACCCAAAUACACAAAGUUUAUAUCGCUAUGGUUUCUUUUCCACUACAUUGUGAAUAUAGAUCACAUAAAAUUGGCUACCAAUUCAACUUUACCUUAAGGGCAUAUAUCCUGUUAAUCAUCAUCUAUUGUGUCAUUUUUAUCUGCCGUAGACAACUCAACGGCAAUAUCUAUAUAUAUGUAAUUAAUUGGGUUUAUAUUUUUGAGCAACUGCAGAAUUAUCUAGGAUGGGAAUGUGGGAUGACCCCAUAUCACGUGGCCAUUUCGUGGAUUAUGGUGUGGUUACAUGAUUAUAUCUUACCAUUUUCCUUGUGAAUAAUCAACUCACU
rnacentral:lncRNA from 1 species